AGGGCGCACGGUGAAUGCCUUGGCACUAGGAGCCGACGAAGGACGGGACGAACACCGAUAUGCUUCGGGGAGCUGUAAGUAAGCUUUGAUCCGGAGAUUUCCGAAUGGGGGAACCCACUGCCUGUAAUGAGGCAGUAUCCAUACCUGAAUCCAUAGGGUAUGAGAAGGCAGACCUGGGGAACUGAAACAUCUUAGUACCCAGAGGAAGAGAAAGCAAAUGCGAUUUCCUGAGUAGCGGCGAGCGAAACGGAAUUAGCCCAAACCAGAAGGCUUGCCUUCUGGGGUUGUAGGACACUCCAUACGGAGUUACAAAGAAACAGCGUAGGUGAAGCGACCUGGAAAGGUCCGCGGGACAAGGUAACAGCCCUGUAGCCGAAACGUUGUUUCCUCCGGAGUGUAUCCUGAGUACGGCGGGACACGUGAAACCCCGUCGGAAUCCGGGAGGACCAUCUCCCAAGGCUAAAUACUCCCUAGUGACCGAUAGUGAACCAGUACCGUGAGGGAAAGGUGAAAAGCACCCCGGGAGGGGAGUGAAAGAGAUCCUGAAACCGUGUGCCUACAAGUAGUUGGAGCCCGUUAAUGGGUGACAGCGUGCCUUUUGUAGAAUGAACCGGCGAGUUACGAUAACGUGCGAGGUUAAGUUGAAGAGACGGAGCCGCAGCGAAAGCGAGUCUGAACAGGGCGCCAUAGUACGUUGUUGUAGACCCGAAACCGUGUGAUCUACCCAUGUCCAGGGUGAAGUCCAGGUAACACUGGAUGGAGGCCCGAACCCACGCACGUUGAAAAGUGCGGGGAUGAGGUGUGGGUAGGGGUGAAAUGCCAAUCGAACACGGAGAUAGCUGGUUCUCCCCGAAAUAGCUUUAGGGCUAGCCUCGAGGGAAGAGUGUUGGAGGUAGAGCACUGAUUGGACUAGGGGUCCCCACAGGAUUACCGAAUUCAGUCAAACUCCGAAUGCCAAUCACUUAUCCUCGGGAGUCAGACUGCGAGUGCUAAGAUCCGUAGUCAAGAGGGAAACAGCCCAGACCAUCAGCUAAGGUCCCCAAGUAUACGUUAAGUGGAGAAGGAUGUGGAGUUGCUUAGACAACCAGGAUGUUGGCUUAGAAGCAGCCACCAUUGAAAGAGUGCGUAAUAGCUCACUGGUCGAGUGACUCUGCGCCGAAAAUGUACCGGGGCUAAACGUAUCACCGAAGCUAUGGAUUGUCCUUACGGACAGUGGUAGGGGAGCGUUCCAAGGGCUGUGAAGCAUGACCGGAAGGACAUGUGGAGCGUUUGGAAGUGAGAAUGCCGGUAUGAGUAGCGAAAAGAGGGGUGAGAAUCCCCUCCGUCGAAAGCCUAAGGUUUCCUGAGGAAGGCUCGUCCGCUCAGGGUUAGUCGGGACCUAAGCCGAGGCCGAAAGGCGUAGGCGAUGGAAAACAGGUGGAAAUUCCUGUACCACCACGUCACCAUUUGAGCAAUGGGGGGACGCAGGAAGGCAGGGAAUCGCGCUGAUGGAUAUGCGCGUCCAAGCAGUUAGGCUGGCAAACAGGCAAAUCCGUUUGCCAUAAGGCUGAGCUGUGAUGGCGAGGGAAAUUUAAGUACCGAAGUUCCUGUACCUACACUGCCUAGAAAAGCCUCUAGCGAGGUGACUGGUGCCCGUACCGCAAACCGACACAGGUAGGCGGGAAGAGAAUUCUAAGACGCGCGGGAGAACUCUCGUUAAGGAACUCGGCAAAAUGACCCCGUAACUUCGGGAGAAGGGGUGCUCUGAUAGGGUGCAAGCCCGAGAGAGCCGCAGUGAAUAGGCCCAAACGACUGUUUAUCAAAAACACAGGUCUCUGCCAAGCCGCAAGGCGACGUAUAGGGGCUGACACCUGCCCGGUGCUGGAAGGUUAAGAGGAGGGGUUAUCCCGUAAGGGAGAAGCUCUGAAUUGAAGCCCCAGUAAACGGCGGCCGUAACUAUAACGGUCCUAAGGUAGCGAAAUUCCUUGUCGGGUAAGUUCCGACCCGCACGAAAGGUGCAACGAUUUGGGCACUGUCUCAACGAGAGACCCGGUGAAAUUAUAUUACCUGUGAAGAUGCAGGUUACCCGCGACAGGACGGAAAGACCCCAUGGAGCUUUACUGCAGCUUGAUAUUGGAUUUUG
rnacentral:rRNA from 1 species